rnacentral:lncRNA from 1 species
CAGUUGCCGUCUUCAAAUCAGAAAUUACAAUCCUCUCAUCUUCCAUAUCGCCAGUUUGGAGAGGUAUUCAGCGCAAUUACCCACUUUACAGCAAAUCAGUGUCUAGGUAUGGUAUUUCCACUUAUCUCAUGUCUUGAAGGCCCAAUACACUUUAUUCAUCAGAAAUUAAUUGCAGUCGCCUUUUCGUUCACUAUAUAAAACAGACAAUGACCAAGUACACAUAGUUAAUAUUCGUUUAAAAGAUCACCAGAUUCACUUGAAAAACAGUUUGAAUCUUACUGACCAUCGUAUGUUUCGUCAGGUUUCCAUUUAGAUAUUGCAUAAAUUACUCUCCCUUUCCAUCCUUGUAGCAGCCAACCGCGGUCUUCAACAGCAAAGAAUUCCUCAUGCCAAAACGUGUUCUUCAUGUAUGCUAUUAUCCUUAAGAUGGCUGGAUCGACAGGAAGCUGCUGGAACCCGGCCUUGAGGCACCUUGCGUGCCACUGUCGGUAACUUUCUGGUCUCUCAGUUCUUUCUGCACCCUCACAUGCUAUGAUGUUAAGCGCAUGCUUCCCAAAUAUCAUCCUCUCAAUCAUCUUUCUUGCUUCAUUAUCCCGUGGAGCAACGUUUGAAUCAAGCAUGUCAAACAUUGAAGAGUAAUGGAACAUUACCUCUUUGAAACAUUUUAUGAAGAAGGGAGAACUGCGUAACCCAUUUACGGUGCCUGAAAUGAAAAUCAUUGGGUUCAUCAUCCUCAUCAUUUUGAGCACCUUGUCCCUUGCACUAUUUAUGGCUUCGGUUUCAUGUCCGAGGUUCCUCAUCCGGUACAUGCAGUUGAUUAUGAGAACUUCAUCCUCCUCAAUGUUAAAAUCCUCAGUUUUAAUGGUCUCCCAUCUUGAGGCGGCAAUGCCCUGAUACUGAAAUGGUACCUUGAACAUGUUUGCAUAAUAAGCCAACCGCUUCCCUGUCUCCUCGAUCAUUUCGUUGGGGCGGAAACCUGGCUGACAAACGUCUAUACCUGUGAUCCGAAGCUUAGGGGCUCCCUCUUCUUCCUGUGCAAACUUCUGAAUCAUUAAUGGCCACGGAAAGCCGAAGCCGAUGCCAAAGUCAACGAUGUGCGCGCUUGGUUUCCCUUGUGAGACAUCAAGAAUAGCUUGGCUGGCAAAGUAGUAUGACCUCCCGGAGCCCCGUCGCUGUCCCCUUCACCGGAUCUGGAGUCCCCGCGUCGGCCUCCACCGAUUUCAGCCGGAUCCGGGCCUCGCCGGCCACGCUAGCCCCGCCGGACCCUCCUCCCGCGCCGCCGAACUGCCAUGGCCGCCUCCCUCCUGCGUGCUCGUGCGGGCGCACGAGGAGGAGGACGAGCAGCCGCUCGGGGCCGCCCCAGUGCCGCGUGGGCCCCGCCAAGGCCCAGCCAAGGCGCCCCGGCCCAGCUUCGGCCGGCCUGCCAGGCCGCCUCCUCCACUGAUCUGGGCCUGCGGCCCACUAGGUGAGCACCCCGCCAGCCCUAUCCCUCGUCCGGGCGACAUUUAGUCUUUUUGCGCCCACUCCGUUUUUUCAGUAAUAUGACCAAGUCCCAGAUUUUUCUAUGUUAAGUGAGCAUGUUUGACCUAGCGUAUCUUUGUUCUUGCUAAUCUGUUUGGAGCAUAUAAUAUAUCGAAAUGUUCGCCUCGUGAUGCUCUACAUUUUAUUCAAUUGCACCAUGUUCAUUAGAGGUCAUCUUGAUGCCCUAAUCAUCGUUGCAAGAGUGCUAGUUGCUGUUAUCUUCUGGUUCAUAGCAGAACUUGAUGAUUUGUUAUUUUUAUAUCAUUUAAUCUGUGCAUCUUUUGAGCAUGAGCUCUACAUGUGUUUUGAAGUAUGCCAUGCCAUAUUUCCAGUGGUGUAGUCCAUGUAUUUUUGUGAUCUCUGUGGUGACUAGCACAAGCAUGCAAAAUAGGCUCCGUAAUGUUUUUGAUUUCAGGGACUUAGUGAUUUCUCUAAGUCUUUGUCUGCUGUUAUUUUGUUGCCAUGUAAACUUGAUGCUACAGAGAGAUCCAUGCAUAUUUUGGAGAUGUUCAGUAAGGAUGUUUUGUAGAUAUUGUUGUAAUAGAUCAAUUCCUGCCCUUGUUUGCAAUUAUGGAGUGCCAUAGCAUGACUCAAUCUUGCUCUACUUUUGCUAUAAAAUAUUUCUGGCAGAUUCUUAACAUGAUAUUCAUUUUUGCCAAGCUCGUUAUAGUUGAUACAUACAUGCUAUGCUUUUGUUCUUGCCAUGGAUAGCUUCAUAAACAUGCCAUCUUGCUGUAGGUAUGCUUGGUUUAUCAUGCAUUGCUCUGUAGUGAGUGCAUCAAGCUCACCAACAUGCAUUCAUAUUAUAGUUUCUGCCAUGCUCUGUUUUCUGCUAAGUCUGGAACCUGUUAACGAAACUUGCUAUGUUUACAUGCUUGGCAUCAUAUCUUCUGGUCCUUUUUGGCUUAUGGUCAGUAAGAGACUUUUGUUAUAUGCUUUGAGUAGAUUCAUGCCAUGCCUUGUUUUUCCAUGUUAAGUUCCUGUAACAUGUUGAUUUCGUGCUCUGAACAUUGCUACCUGAUGUUAUUUCUGUCAUGUCCAGUAUUUUUGCUAAGUCUGUGAACCUGUUAUUAUUUGCAAUCUUGCCAUGUCCUUUUGAGCAUGUUCUAGUGAUUUCUGGAGAUAGCUCAGUGUUCAUGUUUUGUCAUGCUUUACCUGUACUUCAUGCCCAUGCCUUUUAUUUUCAUGUUGAGUUGUUGUAGCAUAUUAUUUUGGUGAUUGCUAUAUGCCUAGUUGCUGUUUUGGGUCAGAUUGUUUCCAUGUAUUGUUUGGAGUGUAUGUGUUGCACCGUUGCUCGGUUUUGAGCAUGCUCUACAUGUAACUUGCUCAGUUUUGCAUGUAGUCGCAUAUUAUCAUGUUGCAUCCUUGUUUUGAGGCGUUUGCUUGAUGUUUGUAUGCAUUUUGCAUCAAUGCCAUGUUUAACUUGUUUUGAUCAUAUCUUCUAGGCCGUAGCUCCGAAUCUAAUGAACUUUAUAUGUAACUUGACUAGAAUUUCGUGUAGAUCAUCAUGGUGCUCUUUAACUUGCUGUUUAACAACUUCAACUUAAUGCUUAUUCAGUUCUGGACCAAUUUCGAAAUUUGCAUAUGAGGACUUACCGGAAUUGUUAUAUGUUGUUUUCGGCCUCAUUUAAACUUGCCUUGAUGUGUUGUUCUUGUAUGCAUCAUCUCUUGUCAUGAGUAGCUUCAUGUAGCCUUGUCAUGCAUCAUUCUUGAUUGAGCAUCAUGCCUUGUUCCUGUGUGAUGUGUUUACCAUGUUGUGUGCUUCUUCUCGAUAGUUCCCGUGUCGUUGCGAUCGUGAGGAUUCGUUCGUCUUCGUGGCUUCAUCUUCUUCAUGGAUUCGUUCUUCUUCCUAGCGGGAUUUCAGGCAAGAUGACCGUCACCUUGGAUCUCAUUACUAUCAUUGCUAUGCUAGUUGCUUCGUUCUAUCGCUUUGCUCCGCUACCUAUUCACUUGCUCUUCAAGCCUCCCAAAUUGCCAUGAACCUCUAACCUUUGUCACCCUUCCUAGCAAACCGUUGUUUGGCUAUGUUACCGCUUUGCUCAGCCCCUCUUAUAGCGCUAAUAGUUGCAGGUGAAGAUGAAGAUUGCUCCAUGUUGGAUUAUGUUUAUGUUGGGAUAUCACAAUAUCUCUUAUAUUAUUAAUGCAUCUAUAUACUUGGUAAAGGGUGGAAGGCUCGGCCUUAUGCCUGGUGUUUUGUUCCACUCUUGCCGCCCUAGUUUCCGUCAUACCGGUGUUAUGUUCCCGGAUUUUGCGUUCCUUACACGGUUGGGUGAUUUAUGGGACCCUCUUGACAGUUCGCUUUGAAUAAAACUCUUCCAGCAAGGCCCAACCUUGGUUUUAUCAUUUGCUCAGCCUAUUUCUUUUCCCUAGGGAGUCGCUCUCUCGAGGGUCAUCUUAUUUUAACCCCCCCGGGCCAGUGCUUCUCUAAGUGUUGGUCCGAACUGAGUAGACUGCGGGGCCACCUCGUGGAAACUCGAGGUCUGGUUUUACUCGUAGGAUGUCUCAUCCGGUGUUGCCCUGAGAACGAGAUAUGUGCAGCUCCUAUCGGGAUGUCGGCGCAUCGGGCGGCUUUGCUGCUUUUGUUUUACCAUUGUCGAAAUGUCUUGUAACCGGGAUUCCGAGACUGAUCGGGUCUUCCCGGGAGAAGGAAUAUCCUUCGUUGACCGUGAGAGCUUAUCAUGGGCUAAGUUGGGACACCCCUGCAGGGUAUUAUCUUUCGAAAGCCGUGCCCGCGGUUAUGAGGCAGAUGGGAAUUUGUUAAUGUCCGGUUGUAGAUAACUUGUCACUUGACCUUAAUUAAAACGCAUCAACCGCGUGUGUAGCCGUGAUAGUCUCUUCUCGGCGGAGUCCGGGAAGUGAACACGGUUUAUGGGUUAUGUUUGACGUAAGUAGGAGUUCAGGAUCACUUCUUGAUCAUUGCUAGUUUCACGACCGUUCCUUUGCUUCUCUUCUCGCUCUUCUUUGCGUAAGUUAGCCACCAUACAUGCUUAGUCGCUGCUGCAACCUCACCACAUUAUCCUUUCCUUUCCCUUUAAGCUUUGCUAGUCUUGAUACCCAUGGUAAUGGGAUUGCUGAGUCCUCGUGGCUCACAGAUUACUACACCACCAGUUGCAGGUACAGGUUGUGCGAUGAUCAUGACGCGAGAGCGAUGUUUACUUGUUUGGAGUUCUUCUUCUGCUUCUUCUUCGAUCAGGGGAUAGGUUCCAGGUCGGCAGCCUGGGCUAGCAGGGCGGAUGUCGUUUGAUCUUCUGUUUAUGUUUCAUCCGUAGUCGGAUGUUGAUCUCAUGUAUGAUGUAUUGAUGUAUUCUUGUGGCAUGUGUAUGCCUUGUAUGUAUCCCCAAAUAUUAUGUAAUGUUGAUGUAAUGAUAUCCACCUUGCAAAAGCGUCUUCAAGAUGCGCUUCUAUCCUUCGUGGGACCUUCGAGUUCCUUUAGGACCAAUCUGUUGUACUUGUUCGCCUCUCCAUGAGGUUGCAAUAAACCUGACCCCCGAUCCCAG